UUCCACGAAGACAGGGUUUCUCUGUGUAGCCCAGAAACUCACUCUGUAGACCAGAAAAAUCUAUUUAAGCACAGUUUGGUAGCCCAAGACAUUGAUGUCCAGAGUACGGGAGGCAGAGGCUAGUCUGGUUUACGGUUUAAAAACCGCCUCGGUUAGACAGGCUUUGCCUUAAAAGAAAAUCUUUUCAAACAGCUGCUUUACAACUUAGCUGACAAAACAGAAGUUUUUGUCUGGACCUAGAUGUUCAAUUUCCUAGGAGCUUCAAAGUUAACAUUCAACCUAGAGUUGUAAUAUAUUUUUAGAACAUUCUAAGGACGAUGAGAUGGAUAAAAACACUGUGAGACAAGCCUGGAGACCCAAGUUCAUGCCCAGGCCCGAGAUAAAGUUUCAGAGAGAGAACAGAUUCACAAAGCCGUUCCAGUGACCUUCACAUUGGCACCACGCCCACAUUAUAUGUACAUAAGCUCUUAAAUAAAGUUGAAAUGUAUAACCAAACUUAACCCUUAAAUAUUUAUACCUUUCUUUCCAUAACUACAAAAAACGGUGAAAAUUCUUUCCUUAGGAAGCAUCUACUAUAAUUUUACUAUUUUACAAAUUUUGCAUAAACAGAUACUUCAGUGAAUAAGACUACUUAAAAAGAACUGGAACUGGUAUUGCAUGCCUUUAAUCCCAGAGAGAUUAAAGAGAGGCAGAGAGGCAGGUGGAUCUCUGUGGGUUCAAGACCAACCUGGUCUACAAAGCCACUCCAGGAUAGCCAGGGCUACACAGUGAGACUCUGUCUCAGGUACAGUUCUCAGUCCCCCAUGAAUGACAACUUACAGCUGUCUGUAAAUACACUUACAGGUUUCAACAUUCUAUGACCUCCAUAGACAUCAAGCAUGCACAUGGUACACACAUACAGUCAAAAGGUAGGUAUAUAAAAUUAAAAUUUAAAAAAAAAACCUUAAGAAAAAUUCAAAGAUUACAUUUAAAGGCACAUGCACAUUUAAAAUUCGCCUAGAUUCAUCAGCAAAAACAUGAUCUAUAUACUAGAAAAAUAAACACAAAGACACAAGUAUAACUUCACAAAUUCGGGGUACACAAAAGAAGCUGGUUAGCUCGUAGUUGAAU
rnacentral:lncRNA from 1 species